UACGUAGGGUGCAAGCGUUGUCCGGAAUUAUUGGGCGUAAAGCGCGUGUAGGCGGCCCGAUAAGUCCGCUGUGAAAGUCCGGGGGCUCAACUCCGGAUCUGCGGUGGGUACGGGCAGACUAGAGUGAUGUAGGGGAGACUGGAAUUCCUGGUGUAGCGGUGAAAUGCGCAGAUAUCAGGAGGAACACCGGUGGCGAAGGCGGGUCUCUGGGCCGAUACUGACGCUGAGGAGCGAAAGCGUGGGGAGCGAACAGG
rnacentral:rRNA from 1 species